rnacentral:rRNA from 1 species
UACGUAGGGGGCAAGCGUUGUCCGGAAUCAUUGGGCGUAAAGCGCGUGUAGGCGGUUCAGUAAGUCUGCUGUGAAAGUCCAGGGCUCAACCCUGGGAUGCCGGUGGAUACUGCUGGGCUAGAGUACGGAAGAGGCGAGUGGAAUUCCUGGUGUAGCGGUGAAAUGCGCAGAUAUCAGGAGGAACACCGAUGGCGAAGGCAGCUCGCUGGGACGGUACUGACGCUGAGGCGCGAAAAGCGUGGGAGCAAACAGG